UUCCCGCAGCAGCUGCGGGGCUAGAAAACAAGUGUAGAUGCAAAGAUUCGCUCUCCACGAGCUGUCCCUAGUUGGCCGUAGAAAACGUGAUUCCCUUUCGAUAACGAAAGCUCAUUUAUAGAGUAGGUGGGAAAGCCCGCGGUCCCCAGGAACUGAUGGGGAAAGAGGUCUGCGGCUGCCGGGGGCGCUGAGCGCUGGGGCAGUUUCUCCCAACCUCUCCCAGCGUGGGACCAACCGGGGGAAAGACGCGAGUCGGGGAGAUGGGUGAAGGCCGAGCAUGGGGUGAGGAAGGAAGGGGCUGAGAUACGGGAAGAGGCCGUUCGGCCCCGGCAACUACUUAAUGGCAGGGAAGGACCGCCAAGACUGGAACCAGUACAAGUUGUGCAGCACAACAGGCAGUGCUGAACUGUGACCCCGGAGAGAAGGAAAAUAAAUGCGGAGGGCCCCCUAGAUGCUGGUUUGCUGUGGAGAGAGAACCUGAACGGCCUGGCAGACUCCUUGAAUUCAGGAUACUGAGCUCUGAAUUCCAAGGUGCCAGGGCUGCUAGAAGUCUCAAGGCAGAGCGGUGAAGAUUAAAGAGCUGAAGACAGCUCUGGAGUUCUGCAGAGAUUCUCAAGUCUGAUCUGUUCUGUGCUCUUCUACAUACUUCCCCAAAGAAGAAGGAAGAGUCAGAGGCCUGUUCCAGUCGUUAAUAUUAGCUGUGAAAGUGUGUCUGAGUUGUGUGACAUGCGAAAAGACACUAGGUUUUUAACGUUCUACUGGGUUCCACCAGUAUGUAUGUGCGAGCUGGCACCGUAGCUUCAGCAAGGAAAGUAAAUGGUUUGGUUAUGGAGUCUGUUAGGGGAACUGCUGUGAGCUCUCUGCCCUGUACUCCCAUUCUCAACACUCCGAUCGAGAUACCAGCCACCCCUCAAAGCAUGCCCCUAACAGCUGUGCGACAAAUGAACCUGGGUGAGCUCGAAAGCCGGGCUGUCGUCCUGCUCAAACGCUGGCCAGGUGUGUCGAGAGUUUUCCAAAUGUUUGCCUGUAUUUUGGUGAACUGGAGUGUUCGAAGCUGGCUGCAAAAGUGAGAAAUCUGCUUUGAGAGAACCGGUGUUUGAUCCUUUAAGGCUGAAAUUUCAACCUCAAGCGAAACUCAGGGCAUCCAAAGGCAAUUCAAAACAGAAAGAAGAAAGUUCUAUGUGACAUUUCUGGGAUCGAAACUGAUGAGUUAUAAAUUUUCACUGUUGAUACUUGGCCUGUCUUCCUCUUUUGCCAGUAUAUAUUUAUCUCUUCGGGCAUAAUACCAUGUUACAGUAAAGCUGCUUUCAUUUUGACUACAUUUGUGAUACUCAGACAUGUAAAGGUUGGUGUGUACUUUUGAACUUACAACAAAGAGUUUUCAAAGAAUGGUGUACCAGAUUGUGACAUAAAUGCUUAACCCACGCAAGGAACAGGGAUCUCUGAGAUCUCUGAAAAACACUUUGCCAGCACAUAGAUAAAUAGAAUAUAAAUAAUUCCGAAACUGAAAUGACAAAGCAUUCAUAUCUAAAAGCAGUGUCCAGAGUUUUCUACUUGGCAAAUUUUAUGGACUUUCAGAAUUAUUCACUAUAAAUCAAGGUCAUAAAAAUGGAACUUAAAAAUAAAGUAAUUUUCACAAUACUUUUAAUUAUGUGUCUGUCUACUUAUUCAGAUGGACAUCUAUGUAAAUUAGUAAGUCAUGAUGCAUAAAAUUUUAAAGUUACAUUUAUUUAUAUGCAUUUUAAGCCAUAAUCCUACAGAUUUUAUCUUAUAUUUCAAGAAAAAGAGAAAAAAAUGAGAAAUUAAAUGUUUUAUGCAUUUUUCAUUAUAAAGUAUUACAGGUUCAUUGUUAAAAAUCAGGGAAAUACAGAAAAGUCUAAAAAAAACACUUAACAUUGUACCACUUAAUCAUCAUCACUGACAUUUUUAGUAUCACUUUUAGCCCUUUUGUCUGUAUGUUAUCUUUUUAAAAAAUAAACGAAGACAAACUAAUGUGCCAAGUCAAUCCAAAGGAUUUAGCAAUGCUGCUGGAACAACUGAGUAUCCACACAGAGGAAAACAAAUGAAACUUGACCCAUAUCUCACUCCAUACAUAAAAAAUUAACUUGAGAUAGAUCUAAGCUUAAGAUCAGGGCAUCUGAGUGGCUAAGUUGGUUAAGCCAUUGCCUUCAGCGUAGGUCAUGAUCCCAGAGUCUUGGGAUCGAGUCCCAUAUUGGGCUUUCUCUGCUCUUCAGGGAGCCUGCUUCUGCCUCUCCUCUUGCUUGUGCUCUGUCUCUCUCUCUGUGUCAAAUAAAUAAAUAAAAUCUUAAAUAAAAUAAAAUAAACUUAAGAUCAGAAACAUAAAGCUUCAAGGAGAAUAUCUUUAUGUUCUUGGGAGUAGGCAAAGAUAUCAUGCAAAGAACACAUGAAGCAUUAACCACAAGAGAGAAAAAAAAAAAAAAAAGAUUAAAUUGGAUUGUGCAGGGGCACCUGGGUGGCUCAGUGGUUUGGGCUGCUGCCUUCAGCUCAGGUCAUGAUCUCAGGGUCCUGGGAUCGAGUCCUGCAUCGGGCUCUCUGCUCAGCAGGGAGCCUGCUUCCCUCUCUCUCUCUCUCUGCCUGCCUCUCUGCCUACUUG